rnacentral:tRNA from 1 species
GGCGAGAUGGCUCAGUGGGUAAGAGCACCCAACUACUCUUCCAGAGGUCCUGAGUUCAAAUCCCAGCAACCACA